CCUGGCUCAGAUUGAACGCUGGCGGCAUGCUUACACAUGCAAGUCGAACGGCAGCACGGGCUUCGGCCUGGUGGCGAGUGGCGAACGGGUGAGUAAUGCAUCGGAACGUGCCCAUGUUGUGGGGGAUAACUACGCGAAAGCGUGGCUAAUACCGCAUACGCCCUGAGGGGGAAAGCGGGGGAUUCUUCGGAACCUCGCGCAAUUGGAGCGGCCGAUGUCAGAUUAGCUUGUUGGUGAGGUAAAGGCUCACCAAGGCGACGAUCUGUAGCGGGUCUGAGAGGAUGAUCCGCCACACUGGGACUGAGACACGGCCCCAGACUCCUACGGGAGGCAGCAGUGGGGAAUUUUGGACAAUGGGGGCAACCCUGAUCCAGCCAUGCCGCGUGAGUGAAGAAGGCCUUCGGGUUGUAAAGCUCUUUCAGCCGGGAAGAAAACGCACGCUCUAACAUAGCGUGUGGAUGACGGUACCGGACCAAGAAGCACCGGCUAACUACGUG
rnacentral:rRNA from 1 species